rnacentral:rRNA from 1 species
UUCCAGACUCCUACGGGAGGCAGCAGUGAGGAAUAUUGGUCAAUGGGCGGAAGCCUGAACCAGCCAAGUCGCGUGAGGGAUUAAGGCCCUGCGGGUCGUAAACCUCUUUUGCCGGGGAGCAGAGGUCCGGACGUGUCCGGGCCGGGAGAGUACCCGGAGAAAAAGCAUCGGCUAACUCCGUGCCAGCAGCCGCGGUAAUACGGAGGAUGCGAGCGUUAUCCGGAUUUAUUGGGUUUAAAGGGUGCGUAGGCGGGCUGUUAAGUCCGCGGUCAAAUGUCGGGGCUCAACCCCGGCCUGCCGUUGAAACUGGCGGCCUCGAGUGGGCGAGAAGAAGGCGGAAUGCGUGGUGUAGCGGUGAAAUGCAUAGAUAUCACGCAGAACCCCGAUUGCGAAGGCAGCCUUCCGGCGCCCUACUGACGCUGAGGCACGAAAGUGCGGGGAUCGAACAGGAUUAGAUACCCCAGUAAU